rnacentral:tRNA from 1 species
GGCCCUGUAGCCAAGCGGUAAGGCAAGGCACUGCAACUGCCUGAUCAUCGGUUCAAGUCCGUUCGGGGCCUCCA